rnacentral:rRNA from 1 species
GACGAACCGUCCAAACGUUGUUCGGAAUCACUGGGCUUAAAGGGCGCGUAGGCGGACUGCCAAGUCCGGGGUGAAAUCUUUCGGCUUAACCGGAAAAGGGCCUUGGAAACUGGCGGUCUCGAGGGAGGUAGGGGCCUGUGGAACUUCGGGUGGAGCGGUGAAAUGCGUUGAUAUCCGAAGGAACGCCGGUGGCGAAAGCGACGGGCUGGAUCUCUUCUGACGCUGAGGCGCGAAAGCCAGGGGAGCGAACGGG